rnacentral:rRNA from 1 species
UCCUGAUAAAGGAGUCUUUUGCUUGUCCUAAAAGCACAGGUGAAUAAGGGGUGGGCAAGUCUGGUGUCAGCCGCCGCGGUAAUACCAGCACCUCGAGUGGUCAGGACGUUUAUUGGGCCUAAAGCAUCCGUAGCCGGCUUUGCAAGUCUUCGGUUAAAUCCACCUGCUCAACAGAUGGGCUGCUGGAGAUACUACAAAGCUAGGGAGUGGGAGAGGCAGACGGUAUUCAGUGGGUAGGGGUAAAAUCCUCUGAUCCAUUGAGGACCACCAGUGGCGAAGGCGGUCUGCCAGAACACGUUCGACGGUGAGGGAUGAAAGCUGGGGGAGCAAACCGGAUUAGAUACCCCCGUAGUCC